GACAGAGGUCCCGAGCGUUAGGCGGAAUCACUGGGCUUAAAGCGUGUGUAGGCGGACGGGUAAGUACCUUGUGAAAUCCCACGGCUCAACCGUGGAACUGCUUGGUAUACUGCCUGUCUUGAGCCAGCUAGGGGCAACCGGAACAAAUGGUGGAGCGGUGAAAUGCGUAGAUAUCAUUUGGAACGCCAAUGGUGAAAACAGGUUGCUGGGGCUGUGCUGACGCUGAGACAUGAAAGCUAGGGGAGCAAACGGG
rnacentral:rRNA from 1 species